UGGGGAAUAUUGGACAAUGGGCGAAAGCCUGAUCCAGCCAUGCCGCGUGUGUGAAGAAGGUCUUCGGAUUGUAAAGCACUUUAAGUUGGGAGGAAGGGCAUUAACCUAAUACGUUAGUGUUUUGACGUUACCGACAGAAUAAGCACCGGCUAACUCUGUGCCAGAAGCCGCGGUAAUACAGAGGGUGCAAGCGUUAAUCGGAAUUACUGGGCGUAAAGCGCGCGUAGGUGGUUUGUUAAGUUGGAUGUGAAAUCCCCGGGCUCAACCUGGGAACUGCAUUCAAAACUGACUGACUAGAGUAUGGUAGAGGGUGGUGGAAUUUCCUGUGUAGCGGUGAAAUGCGUAGAUAUAGGAAGGAACACCAGUGGCGAAGGCGACCACCUGGACUAAUACUGACACUGAGGUGCGAAAGCGUGGGGAGCAAACA
rnacentral:rRNA from 1 species